UGCCAGUGCGCAGCUACACAUGCAGUCGAGCGGAACGAUCCUAGCUUGCUAGGAGGCGUCGAGCGGCGGACGGGGAGUAAUGCAUAGGAAUCUGCCCGGUAGUGGGGGAUAACCUGAGGAAACUCAGGCUAAUACCGCAUACGUCCUACGGGAGAAAGCAGGGGCUCUUCGGACCUUGCGCUAUCGGAUGAGCUUAUGUCGGAUUAGCUGGUUGGUGAGGUAACGGCUCACCAAGGCGACGAUCCGUAGCUGGUCUGAGAGGAUGAUCAGCCACAUCGGGACUGAGACACGGCCCGAACUCCUACGGGAGGCAGCAGUGGGGAAUAUUGGACAAUGGGGGCAACCCUGAUCCAGCCAUGCCGCGUGUGUGAAGAAGGCCCUCGGGUUGUAAAGCACUUUCAGUGAGGAAGAAGGCUUGUCGGUUAAUACCCGGCAAGAAAGACAUCACUCACAGAAGAAGCACCGGCUAACUCCGUGCCAGCAGCCGCGGUAAUACGGAGGGUGCGAGCGUUAAUCGGAAUUACUGGGCGUAAAGCGUGCGUAGGCGGCUUGAUAAGCCGGUUGUGAAAGCCCCGGGCUCAACCUGGGAACGGCAUCCGGAACUGUCAGGCUAGAGUGCAGGAGAGGAAGGUAGAAUUCCCGGUGUAGCGGUGAAAUGCGUAGAGAUCGGGAGGAAUACCAGUGGCGAAAGCGGCCUUCUGGACUGACACUGACGCUGAGGUACGAAAGCGUGGGUAGCAAACAGGAUUAGAUACCCUGGUAGUCCACGCCCGUAAACGAUGUCGACUAGCCCGUUUGGGGUCUCGAGACCUUUUGUGGCGCAGUUAACGCACUAAGUCGACCGCCUGGGGGGAGUACGCGCAAGUUAAAACUCAAAUGAAUUGACGGGGGCCCGCACAAGCGUGAGCCAUGUGAUUAAUCCGAUGCCACGCGAGAAACUUACUACCUUUGGACAUCGUUGCGACCUGUAGAAGAUACUGAUGCUCGGGAACGCACAGACAGGUGCCUGCAAUGGCUGUACGAUUCAGCUCUGUC
rnacentral:rRNA from 1 species